CUCUCGAAGCCCAUUUAAGCUCAGAAAAACGCUUCAAUCUCUAGUUGAACAAUUCACGAUGAUGAAAAUACUGGUGAUACUAGUUUUGUGUGUUUUUUAUCUAAACCUUAACGUUGAAGCUGCGCUUAAAAGAUAUACAUCGCAUCCAAUGCGGAAGCCGGGGGGGUGCUACCAUGAGAAAUUUGGGCAUUUAACCGCUACUGCCACUGUCCCAUUGACCGAAAAAUGUGGAGAAUUAAAAUGCUAUGAAUUAGGAUGGAUACAAGAGAAAAGUUGUAGUGUCGCUAUUUCGAAGGGACCAGAGUGUGUUGAUAUCCCGGAGGAUCUUAAGAAACCUUAUCCAAAGUGUUGUCCAGUCAAGUGUGACAAACACUAGAGACUCUAGUUUUGCUGUCUCACUCCAAUAAAAAGUUUACUCAAA